rnacentral:rRNA from 1 species
GUGGUACGCGAGCUGGGUUUAGAACGUCGUGAGACAGUUCGGUCCCUAUCUGCCGUGGGCGCUGGAGAAUUGAGGGGGGCUGCUCCUAGUACGAGAGGACCGGAGUGGACGCAUCACUGGUGUUCGGGUUGUCAUGCCAAUGGCACUGCCCGGUAGCUAAAUGCGGAAGAGAUAAGUGCUGAAAGCAUCUAAGCACGAAACUUGCCCCGAGAUGAGUUCUCCCUGAGACUUUAAGUCUCCUGAAGGAACGUUAAAGACGAUGACGUUGAUAGGCCGGGUGUGUAAGCGCAGCGAUGCGUUGAGCUAACCGGUACUAAUGAACCG